CUACGGGGGGCUGCAGUUGAGGAAAUUUUACAAUGCGCGAAAGCGUGAUAAAAUAAGCCAGAGUGUUUCGUUUUACGAAACUUUUGUCUGCUGUAAAAAAGCAGACGAAUAAGGACUGGGCAAGACCGGUGCCAGCCGCCGCGGUAAUACCGGCGGUCCGAGUCGCAUCCACAUUUAUUGGGUCUAAAACAUCCGUAGCUUGUUUUGUAAGUCUCUUGUGAAAUCUCAUGUCUCAAGCAUGAGGCGGGCAAGAGGUACUGCAUUGCUAGAGACUGGAAGACGUAAGGAGUACGAUUGAGGUAGCGGUAAAAUGUGUUAAUCUUGAUUGGACUAACAAUGGCGAAGGCACCUUACGAGUACGGAUCUGACAGUGAGGGAUGAAGGCUAGGGGCGCAAAAGGGAUUAGAUACCCUCGUAGUC
rnacentral:rRNA from 1 species